rnacentral:lncRNA from 1 species
AUUGACUUUAGUCCAAGUGAGAAUUAUUGAAAAAUAUAGCCUAAAGCUAAUCAUCUAAGUUAUAGAUAAUUGUGCUUCAUAUAUAUAUAUGAAUUAUAAAAUGAUAAAUGCUAUCUAGCAAGAUUCAUCAUAAGAAAUAUAUCUUUCAAAAUAAAACUCAUAUAUUAUGAUGAAGUCCUUAGAGCUACUUCCAAAACCAUAA